CGCAUUUGGCAGCAGGUAGGAUGGGGUUUGCAAGCAUCCAUGCGUUGCAGGCAGCAGAGCUGGGGGGUUUGGGGGGCCACAGUGCUGCUCCUGCAAAACCCGAGCAGCUGCACGUAAAGCAGAAUUGUCAGGAAUGUGAGUGCCAAAGACUGAAAAAAAAAAGAAAGGGGAAAAAAAGCCCACUCUGAGAAUGAAGAUGCUCGGAGAGAGACAGCAAAGAGCGUGAGGUCAGAGAGAGCAGCUUAUGCAAAGGCUUGAAAGAAGCAAGGGAGCGUAGCAAGAGUGGGAGCCCAGCCUUCAGCCGCCUGACAGCUGGUAGGGGAGGAAGAAAAUGAAUUCAGGUGUUGAUUAAGAGGGAUCCACAGCUGAAGAUGCUGUGCUUCCCCCCGCUGCAGCCCUUUCCCCUUCCAGAUGCUCUGGGAGAGAGGCUGCCAUCCUUGUUUUGAUUUUGCAGCCCUACACCCUGAGGUUAUUUGGCCACAGCGGCGAUGUGAGCUCAGCUCCUCCAGGACACGGCUCAGUGCUCUGCCUCCUCCCGGAGCCGCUCUGCCUUCAGCAGUCCUGGCAGAGUGCUGAACACGCUGUGGGUCCAGGUGAGCUCCCUCCCAGUGGGAGCAUCCAAUGAAGGCUGCAGCACAGAGCGGGUGGAAGAGCAGAGCCAGGAGCCCCAUGGGCGCAGCAGGAGCCCACUGCUGGAUUUUCCUGGGAGGAGACCCUGCUGCUGCCUUGCUCCAUCCCACCGGGGGGAGAGGAGCCAAGGGGCUGGGCAGAGAUUUCUCAAUCCCAGUGAAAGUCUUAAGGUCACUUUUUGAGUCCCUGCUGCUGCAUCCCGCUGCACGUGGAACGUGUUUAGGUUGCAGCUCUGUUACCAGCAUGAAACCCAACCAGAUUUCAGCAGGAUGGUGCUGAGCCUCGGCCAGACAUCAGCUUUCCCCCCUUCACCUAUAUACCCGCUGCAAAGUCACUGAGCACCUAUUUCUGGUGCCAUUCAUUUAACCAAAGAGCAAACCAAUUCACCUUGUGGAUGAAACAUUCUAAGGAUGCAGACCCUCCUUUCCCCCUUCUUUUGCUCCAUGCUGGGCUUUGCAAAACAGUUUGCUGUGACCGAAUGCAACACAGCUGUUUCUCACUAUGGAAUUCUUUGGAGGUGGAUUAUUUGUCACUCCUCCAGCUUAAUAAUAAUAAUCCAUUAAUGCAUUUUUUUGCCAUCCUUUGGGGGAGGAAAAUGCUCCCAUGUGGUUUUAUGGCGGCGGUGCUUUUCCAUGCAUGCACACAGAGCUCCAUCUCACCCAAACAGCUCCCGUGGCGCUGAAUAUGAAGUCUUAAAAUAUGACAGCCUGGGUCAGGAGUGUCUUAAAACCACUGCAUAACAGGCGUGUAAAAGAGAUGGGGAAAGUGAAUGUUUCCGACGUGUCGGUGGCCGCAGAGGCCCCGCUUCCUUUGUGCUCUAUGGGAAACUUGUGAAAAUAUUAGUUCUCCAUCAGUGCUGGAUCAUGGCUGUCCCAUGGGUUGGGGGGGGGGGGGUUGUGGUUGGCUCUGUGCAGCGCAGCACAGCUGGAGGGCGGCGGGCAGAUGUGUGCAUCCCACUCCAGAUGUGCCGUGCGAAGCUGUGCCUCUCGGGGCUGUGCACAGUGCUGCCUCCUGCAUGCAGAGAUGGGGCUGCUCACUUGGGGUGGUGGUUGGCCAAGGGCUGGCCCUUGCUGCGGUUGCUCUGAGCCAGGUAAGGGCUGAGGGCAAAGGCUUCAUCCACCCCUUGCCAUAGGAUGCCACGUGCUCCAUCCCACGGACUGCAAAAGCCGCAGCGCUGUGUGAUUGUAGCCUGGCCAAACCCCUCCCUGCAAACCUUUGGGGGAGUGGAGGAGCAGUGGGUGCUCAGUGUCGCUCUGCUCUGUGCACGUGGCCAAUGUUGUCCCCAUGUGCUCCCCGUGUGGCCGCAUCCAGACCCUGCAUCGCAGCCACCCACACUGGGGGCAUGCUUCAAUCAGCACCAGAUCAGCCUCACAGCCAGCACCCCACAGCCAGAACACUGAGGUUCUCAAUUCCCAAUGGUAGCCCUCCCCUGAGUUGGCCAACCCUUCCUUAUAGAAUCACCAAUGUUGGAAAAGACCUCUAAGGUCAUCCAGUCCAACCAUUCACCUAUCACCAAUGUUUCCCACUCAACCAUGUCCUUCAGUACAACAACUAAAUGUUUCUUGAACACGUCCAGGAGUGAUGACUCCACCUCCUUGGGUUGGCCAACCCUCCAUUGAGUUGGCCAACAGUUCUUUACUUGACCUGCAAACCUCCCCGCCCUGUGCCCCAUUUCGCCCCACAGCACCAGCACUUUCCAGCCCAAUGGGCAGGGAGGAUGCAUGGGGUUAAAUUCUUGAGAUGCUGCUGGGAUCAAGGGAGGGCACGGGGUUGUGGAAACCCCAUAGGUGGUCAGCGCUGAAGCUCUGUGAUGCACAGCUUCAAAUGAAGGCUCAGAUCCACUAAAACGCAACCUGCUGGGAGCUGGAUGCUGCGAGCGAAUUCAGCACAGAGCAUCGUUGGUGCCAAAAUUCGGACAACUUGCUGUGCUUCAAGGAAAUUAAAAAGCCCUUUCCGCUGUUUUUGCUUACCCAAACACUGGCAGCCUCAGCUGACCCGGCACACCGAAGAAAUCAGCGUUCUGAGCAGGCUCAGGGUUGGAUUUGCUUCUUACAGCUUCCCGUCCUGAUGAGAAAGGCAAAGUUAUUUUGGGAACAUCAUGAAUGAAAACCGAGAGGUGACCCAGGCAGCCAUGAGGUGGGGGCAGCCAGAGACAACACUUCUACCCACAGAAGAUGCUCCGGAGGCUGUUCGCCUUUGAUUCCUUCUCCCCAGUGCAAUGAGGAGCAAUUAUCCUUCCCAUAAAAGACUCCUUCUUUUAGGGGACUCAUAGUGACUUCAAAGAAAGGGCAGGUCUCUCUGGGGAACAAAGUUGUCAUUUGAGUGAUUCUAGGCUGAUGAAAAGUGCCCGCCUGCUGCUGCCCGGCCCUCUGCUCCCACCCAGGCUUGGUUCAAAGCGAGCAGCCCCAGGGGAUGGUGCAUUCCAUGCAGUGAUCCCAUGCUGCGGGACCCCACCUCGGCCGGGACCUGCAGCUCUGAUGCUCACCUGGCACUGCCCAUAGGGCUGAGCAGCAUUUUGGGGCUCACUCCUUGCAAACAGGAGCUGCUUCCCAGCUGCUGCUGUGGUUGUAGGUGGGAGGAUGGGCACAGUGACCCCAUACCCAAACAUUGCAGCAGCCUUGUGGGGAAGCAGCCUGGUUCCCCAAGCUCUCAGCACCCAAUUGCCUGCAGCCCCAUGGGAUGUGAUGCGCUGAAAGAGUCCCUGUUUCAUCCCUCACAUGUGGAAAGAAAGCACAAAGAAGUCACACAAGGACCAGCAGCUUUGCUGGAGCCACUUAGGGCUGUGCUACCCCACGCAGCGAUGGGAGGGAGCUGGGUUGCAAUGAGGCAGAAGGCACCAGAAAAGCAGGCUGGUUUCAGGUGUCCCGAGCGCUGCCGACCUGAUCUUAUCUCCAGCUCUGGGUAGGGGUUAUCUCUGCUUCCUGUGAUGAAAGCACCGUGAGAGACAGUGCUGGCAGGGGAGGUGAGGUGAAUGCCAUUUGGUAACACAGGUGUCUGACUUUACUUGCGACAAAGGCAGCCCCGAGGUGCAGAAAGACCCCUGUCCAACCUUGAGUCCCUGCCCCUAUUGCCCCCUGCAUCCCCACCUUGCGUGCAGGACACCUCUGCUCCCUCACCCCAGCUCCCCAUUGCUUUUGUACUGAUGAGUACUGAUGAUCUACAACCUCCACCUGCCAUUUCCUCCAAGCUGGAAUUCCCAGCUCCUGGAUUCAGCCACCUCCACCUUUUGGUCAGAUUUCAGAGCCCAACAUUCUUUCUCAGGACCCAUUUUUCUCCCACUUCACUCAGUCCCACCUCAACCCAGCGUUAGCAGUCAGCAGAGCUGAGGCUGCGAGCAGAAGCCUGGACGUGGUGGGGGAUGAGGCAACGAGGGGCUGGGAUGCAAAUCUUGGCAGAAACCUUCUCUGAGGCUUUCUGGCUCCCAGCAAUGCUCCAAUCUGCUAAUUGACUGCACGCAGCCCCGGCUGAGCUCUGACUUCCAGCUUGUGCAUCGCUCAGCACAGCCGCACGGAUGCGUGGGAUGCACAGCAUCCUCGUGUCACGUUUGUGGGGAACAAUGGGGCUGCUGAGCAAAGCCAGCCCUACAUGGGGACACCGCAGGCAUCACUCUGUGUCCCUGUCCCGUCCCCCACCUCCCCAGACAGCUGCAUAGGUUCAUUUCCCUGGCAAAUGAACAGCGGGGAAGGGGGCAAAUAAUGCUGGAGCCCAGGUGGCCCCUCUCACUGCCCAGUCCCAAUGGGAUACUGGUGGGGGGACAGGGAGAGAAAGGGGGAAUGAGUGGUCUGGGAGUGCUCGCUGGUGGGGAUUAAAGGCUCAAUCUUGAGAUGAGAGAAGGAAAUGAGAAUUAAAUCAGUUCCUAGCGCCUGUUCGGUGUUGGGGAGGAUUUAUUGCUGGGGUCAGGACGGCAGCACAGCUGGCGAGGGGACCCUGCAAUGAGGGAGGGUCUGGGGGGGGCAGUGGGGGUCAGAGACCCUCCUUGCUCCUGGAGCAGGGAGCAGCACUGAGCAACGCUGGCUUCCUAUGGGUGCGGGGUAUUGUGGGGGGAACAGAGAUAUACCUGCUGCCCUUUCCUUUCACACCUUCCCUGUGCUCCCAGCAGCUGUGUGUAUCAGAGCAGUGUUGGGUCCCCCACUCCCUCCCUCCCUCCGUCCCCAAAUCCCACCUUGCCCAGCCCUUCCUGACCCCCAUCCAUCACUUUUCUCUGCCUUCGUCUCCUUUUCCUCCCUCUCUCCCCUUUCCUUUUGUUUUUCCUGCCUGCCAUCAUUCACCACGCAGGAUGCUGAGCCGAAAAAGCCUCAUCCACCCCGUGACCAAUGGGGCAGGGACACGGUCACCACCGUGCCCCCACCAGCAAUGGGGUGGCAAUGGGGCGCCUGGCAGGAGCUGCCCAUAAAAUGAAGAAAGUUAAUCAUGGAGCUAAUUGAAACCAGCGGCCCUGGCGUGUUCUGAGCAGAGGGGAGGAAGGAAGGGGGUGGGAAGCUGGGGCUGGGUUGGAUGGGGGGUGGUGUCUUUGGGGUUUUGUGUUUGUGUUUUUUAAGCCAUGGAACAAAUCCAUAUGGUUGCGCAGGCAAUUCCCAGGAACUCUUAGCCUGGGCUCAAUCAUGAAAUGUCUCAAUCCUUUCAGUCCGAGUGUAAAAUUGAGGUUCUUUGGGAGGAAAUUGUUUGUUUGGCGGUGCUUUCCUGGGGCUCUGCGGGCAACUCUGCCAUGGGGGGUAUUUCACCCCCUCCCCUCCCCCCCUCAGAGCUGUGUGGCUGUGAUCCACCCCCAGCAGGACCGCGCUGUUUGCCCAUCAUCCCCAUGCAUGGUGUGGGAUUGUGACACCCAUCAGACCCAUGGAUGGGAGCAGGCAUGGGUGUCCCCAUGUAGUGUGGGUCCAGGGCACCCAUCAGACCCAGAGAUGGGAUCCUGGCUGGGUGGGGAUCCUGGCUGGGUGGGGGAGAGGCUGUGGGCGCUGUGGUCCCAUCACUGUGAUCCCAUCAGAUCCACUUCCAGCACUGCGUGACUCUCAUCCCCCCCCUCAUUAAUUUCCCUCAUUGCACCCACCAUAAUUAACACAUCCCCAGCCCAGGCUGCCCUCCUGCAUUGUGUUUCAG
ensembl:lncRNA